UGAGGAAUAUUGGUCAAUGGGCGCAAGCCUGAACCAGCCAUCCCGCGUGAAGGAUGAAUGCCUUAUGGGUUGUAAACUUCUUUUGUACCUGAAGAAACUCUGGGUCGUGACCUGGACUGCCGGUAGGGUACGAAUAAGCAUCGGCUAACUCCGUGCCAGCAGCCGCGGUAAUACGGAGGAUGCAAGCGUUAUCCGGAUUUAUUGGGUUUAAAGGGUGCGCAGGUGGUUAAAUAAGUCAGUGGUGAAAGUCUGCCGCUUAACGGUAGGAUUGCCAUUGAUACUGUUUAACUUGAGUUUAGGUGAGGUAGGCGGAAUGUGUAGUGUAGCGGUGAAAUGCAUAGAUAUUACACAGAACACCGAUUGCGAAGGCAGCUUACUAAUCUACAACUGACACUGAGGCACGAAAGCGUGGGGAUCAAACAGG
rnacentral:rRNA from 1 species